rnacentral:rRNA from 1 species
CAGUCGUACCGGCGGAUAAUCAGCCUUUCGGGUGCGAUUCUGUGGGGCGUGAGGAGCUUAACCGCCUUCAUGUUUUGCAUAUUCGUGCACAUUUGGUGUACUUGUCCGUGUGGUGGGUUAACAUCAAUUUCGGUCGUCAUAAAAUGAUUGGAGGAAUGUAGCUUUGGUCUCGUAUCGAAGUGUUAUAGACUCGUGGUAGAUGGUGACGAGUUGGGAUUGGAGGUAUUGACAACGGAUACCCGUUCGGGG